UUUAAUCUUAAAACUGUGUUGUUUUUAGAUUCAAGUGCAAAAUAGUUUUUGAAAGUGGAAGUUGAAAAUUGCCAAUAUCUAAAGUUAUGUGAGAGCAGGCAACUGAGCAAGUUUGAGUAAAAAAAAUAUGAAUAGCGAUUUACUCUAUAUUUCUGUAGGUCUUGUGUAACAUUUGUGUACAUCAAGUGAUAUUUUUAAAUAGAGCUUUGCACAUUUUAUACAGAAGUACAUCUUAUUUAAAUCUAAGAUAAG